CUUAGCGGCAACACCACUUUCUAUAAAGUAACAGGCUCACCGGUAGGCCGACUAAGAUCCCUGGUUUCUGUAAACACUGCCGAUUCGGCUAUCCUUGGUGCCUCUGGGUUGUUCGUUUGUGAAAGGUGUCCUACUGUCGCUAGACGCUUCCGAGUAGUUGGUGGGUAGAUCUACUACUGAAGGUCUCGGGUGAAAAGACGUUUCAACGAAGCCCUGCACUGUUUACCAAGGAACCUAGCCAACAAAGCAGUGUUCUCAUGCCAGCUUGUGGUGACGAGCGCCAGGGGUCCCCUUGCCAUGUUGUGUUUGCUUUUAGGAUGCACUGAGGUAAAGUAGAAUGAUGCCUAGUGUGAAGGUGUAAAUCCUGUCAAUGGAAAACUGUUAUUUGUUGAUUGUGUAUUGUUUAUGGAUGACUGAUUCUGACUGUUU